rnacentral:rRNA from 1 species
AGGACGAACGCUGGCGGCGUGCUUAACACAUGCAAGUGGAGCGACGAACCAGGGCUUGCCCUGGGGCAGAGCCGCGAACGGGUGAGUAUCACGUGGAUAACGUACCCCGAUGACUGGGACAACCCGGGGAAACCCGGGCUAAUACCGGAUGUGCCCCCUCACAUCAGUGAGGUGUGUAAAGGAAGCUUCGGCCUCCGCAUCGGGAUCGGCCUGCGGCCCAUUAGCUUGUUGGUGAGGUAACGGCUCACCAAGGCUGCGAUGGGUAGCUGGUCUGAGAGGACGAUCAGCCACACUGGGACUGAGACACGGCCCAGACUCCUACGGGAGCAGCAGUGGGAAUCUUGCGCAAUGCG